GCCAUUCUCCCUUAGCUGUCAUUCUGGCCUGUGAGCAGUAGACCUGUUUUCCUGGCCACUCGCACACUCAGGAGCCCUUCUUUAUCAGUACAUCAAAGAACAGCAAGCCUUACUUCUGCAUCCUUGGCAUGAAUGGAUACCUACUAGAGAGCUGCAGUAGAGAGGGAGGACGGCGCAAACGGAAGCUUUCCUGUCCCGGCUGUUGGCCUUCUUGCAGGGUUCUGAGAUCAGAAACGGAAGUUUCAAAAUACCGAAAGUUCGUUUAUGUCGAACACACUGGUUAAGCUAAAAGCAGGAAGUUCAAGAAAGCCUGAACUCAGGAGGUUUUUCAGCCCAAUUUGGAUCCACAUCUGCGCUUCUGGAUUUUCCACUGAGUCGACCCAGACCCACCCGCCUUCAGCUGCUCAGCGCUUGAUGAG
rnacentral:lncRNA from 1 species